GAUGAACGCUGGCGGCGUGCCUAAUACAUGCAAGUCGAGCGAACGGACGAGAAUCUUGCUUCUCUGAUGUUAGCGGCGGACGGGUGAGUAACACGUGGAUAACCUACCUAUAAGACUGGGAUAACUUCGGGAAACCGUAGCUAAUACCGGAUAAUAUUUUGAACCGCAUGGUUCAAAAGUGAAAGACGGUCUUGCUGUCACCUAUAGAUGGAUCCGCGCUGCAUUAGCUAGUUGGUAAGGUAACGGCUUACCAAGGCAACGAUGCAUAGCCGACCUGAGAGGGUGAUCGGCCACACUGGAACUGAGACACGGUCCAGACUCCUACGGGAGGCAGCAGUAGGGAAUCUUCCGCAAUGGGCGAAAGCCUGACGGAGCAACGCCGCGUGAGUGAUGAAGGUCUUCGGAUCGUAAAACUCUGUUAUUAGGGAAGAACAUAUGUGUAAGUAACUGUGCACAUCUUGACGGUACCUAAUCAGAAAGCCACGGCUAACUACGUG
rnacentral:rRNA from 1 species